rnacentral:rRNA from 1 species
GUUCUAGACUAGGACAUUGAUAGGUGGCAGGUGUAAGUCCGGUGACGGAUUCAGCUUAGCCAUACUAAUCGAACCAUUGACUUUUUAUC